rnacentral:rRNA from 1 species
UACGAAGGGGGCUAGCGUUGCUCGGAAUCACUGGGCGUAAAGCGCACGUAGGCGGAUUGCUAAGUCAGGGGUGAAAUCCUGGAGCUCAACUCCAGAACUGCCUUUGAUACUGGCGACCUUGAGUCCGGGAGAGGUGAGUGGAACUGCGAGUGUAGAGGUGAAAAUUCGUAGAUAUUCGCAAGAACACCAGUGGCGAAGGCGGCUCACUGGCCCGGUACUGACGCUGACGGUGCGAAAGCGUGGGGAGCAAAGCAGG